AAAAAAAACAAACCUUGAUUUCCGUGUCCAACGUUUGACUGUUCAUCUUAUUUAAAAAAAUUAUAAAAAAAAAUAAAAAAAUAAGUUACGCAUAAAGUAUUAAUCAUGUUUUAUUAUCUAACAACAACGGAAAUACUAAUUAUAAAAAAAAUUUCAUAUAAGACGGACAGUCAAACGUUGGCACGGGAACCCACGGUUUACCUUUUU
rfam:Oryza rufipogon genomic scaffold, chr01